GGGCCUGUGAGGUAACUAGCAAUGUGGCCUGAAGCCCUGUGGAUGUCUUACAAGCCUGCCUAAACUGGAAGGAGCAGGGGUCCUUGGCUUUUUUCCCUGCUUUUGGCUAUCCUUUCUGCAUGAACUUCACCAUUUAGUCAUGGACAAAGAUUUAGAUUUUGAUGCAAAUGAGCGGUUGCUUGUCACAAUUAUGAUCACGUGGACGGUACUGCUGUUGUUCCUGAUAAUAUUCUUCAUAAAACUAUGUGUUGCUUUCUACUAUUUUGUUCGUAGAAGGCGCAACUUUUACAGCAUACUUUAAACAGAAUGUGGCCGCUUUGGAUACAGCCACAUAUCAACAUUGGUGGAAAACAUCAAAUUCACAGGCAAAUAUGAAAUCUAAAUAAAAAGAUCUCACCAUCAA